CCUCCCACAUCCCACAGGUGGUCCUCCGAGUUCUCUGAGCGUGUGCCCCUGCAAAGUAGGAUGUCGCGGACCUGCUGCGACGGUCGGGGGCGGCCAGGACCGAAGCACAGGCCACUGCCGCACCCUCUCCCGCUGCUGGAUUGACACCAGGGUCUCCCCGCGGAUGCCUGGACCAGGCCAGGACCCAGCGUCCUUGCACAGUGCUCCCCCGAGGACCCUGGGGCGAACUUGGGGAGCUGAGCCCCUGCCCAGGCUCCCCGGCACUUAGUCCUGGGCGGUAAGACCCCCAGCCUGCCCACCUGAACCUGCCCCCAGCCCGCCCCCAUUCAGCUUGCCCCCUGAGCCUGACCCUUAAGGCUGUCCUCCGACCCACCUGUCCCCUAAACCUGCCCCCACCAAGCCUGCUCCCCCCCACCAAGCCUGCCCCCUUGCCUGCGGGGCCUCCCCACCCGCGCCGCGCGCCCACCCCGGGCCUGCCGGCCUGAGCCGCUUCGUCUGCGGAAGCGCUUCCCGGGGCGGCCGCCAGGUGGCACCCUGUGGCCUCGGGUGGCGGCUUGCUGGACCCCAACAGCCAGCGGUAGCUUUUUCAGACAGACAUUGUCUCCGGCUUCCUCCCCCUUUGUCACAGUGUACUGCCAAGGUGUUCACGGCACAGUGCUGUGGCUCCCGCAUUGGGAACACCUAGGACUCGUGGAAAUGAUCAACCAUGAGCGCCCAGAGGGAGCAGGACCGGCCGCAGGGGUCUCCCGGCCCCCUGUGUCUGGCCCAUGGUGCCAUCUCUCCCUGCCCACCAUAAGGACAUGCUGGGCACACCUGCCUGGGUUUGUCUCACCUUCUAGAUGGUGAGGGAUGAUUAUUUCCCACGUGUUUGUUCCCUACACUGACGUCUUUGAAGGGGAUUUUAUUUUUUAAAAUUAUAGGUAACUGACAAAGAAACAUUCAAAACCAAUAAUAGCUCUAAACACAAAAGUCAGAAAGCAAGCCCAGCCCCGGCACAUGCCUGUGAGCCCAGCGACUCCGAGGCUGAGGCAGGAGGAUCACAAAUUCACAAGUUCAGCCUGGGCAACUUAGCAAGACCCUGUCUCAAAAUUUAAAACACCAGAAAAGAGCUGAGGAUGUGGCUCAGUGGUCGAGCAGCUCUGGGUUCAAUCCCGAGUACUGCUAAUACCAACAUUAGAAAGCAAGGAGGCAAGUGUCAAGACUGGCCCUGUCAACUUGCAUUGUGAUGGAAGCUUUGGUGGCCACAGAAAGUGGGUGGAAAGCCUCCCAGAUGCAAAGCAAGGGGUGUGUCCUGACUUAGAGGUGGACACAAUAGACACCUGUGUGAGCAGAGCCCUCUGGCUGCAGAGGUCAACCAGGGAUUCCUGCAGCCCGGUACAUCAUAAGAGCUGCUCUAAGCCCCUGGUCUUGCUUCCUGACGCCUCAGGUCAUGUGCAAACACCUCCUCUCCC
rnacentral:lncRNA from 1 species